rnacentral:rRNA from 1 species
GAUGAACGCUGGCGGCGUGCCUAAUACAUGCAAGUCGAGCGAACAGACGAGGAGCUUGCUCCUCUGACGUUAGCGGCGGACGGGUGAGUAACACGUGGAUAACCUACCUAUAAGACUGGGAUAACUUCGGGAAACCGGAGCUAAUACCGGAUAAUAUAUUGAACCGCAUGGUUCAAUAGUGAAAGACGGUUUUGCUGGCACUUAUAGAUGGAUCCGCGCCGCAUUAGCUAGUUGGUAAGGUAACGGCUUACCAAGGCAACGAUGCGUAGCCGACCUGAGAGGGUGCUCGGCCACACUGGAACUGAGACACGGUCCAGACUCCUACGGGAGGCAGCAGUAGGGAAUCUUCCGCAAUGGGCGAAAGCUUGACGGAGCAACGCCGCGUGAGUGAUGAAGGUCUUCGGAUCGUAAAACUCUGUUAUUAGGGAAGAACAAAUGUGUAAGUAACUAUGCACGUCUUGACGGUACCUAAUCAGAAAGCCACGGCUAACUACGUG